UCUGAUGAUGCUGUAGGAGACCCCCAUC
rnacentral:piRNA from 1 species